ACACCAUGAUCCAUCAGGGGGCAUUAACUUAUCUUUGUAGUAGUUGUCUCUAAUAUGUCCUCCAUAGGAGGUCUAUAUUGAGCAGAUUUUUUUUGGUUUUGGGUGGUGGAACUGGAGCUUGCUCCAUCCCCUCCAUGCAUCGGCCUGGUAUUACAGCACUUCCAGGAAUGGUGCAAAAAAA
rnacentral:snRNA from 1 species